UCUAAACCACUGACAAAAAUGCUUAAGCUGAAGUUGAUAGUAGUACACUCAUCAGACCCUUAUAAGCCAAUCUUAAUCUUGCCCACUUUCGAUGUGGGACUAAUCAGGGGUGUUACAAUCACCCCCACUCAAAGGCUUGACGUCCUCGUCAAGCCCCAACAUAACCCAGAUCAAACCCUAGCAUAGUGCAUAUGAGGCGUAGUCCAGUGGUGGUUCCACGCCGCCGUGACGAGUCCUCUGACUCCGUCUACGGGUAGACCUUUCCUACUCGAGCCCCCUCACCAUGCCCAAAUGCUAGGUCGGCUCUGAUACCAAAUAUUAUGACUCGGGCCUGAUAGGCUAACUGGCCUAUCAGCUUCGUUUGGUCUAAACCAUUGACCAAAAUGCUUAAGCUGAAGUUGAUAGUAGUACACUCAUCAGACCCUUAUAAGCCAAUCUUAAUCUUGCCCACUUUUGAU
rnacentral:lncRNA from 1 species